AUCCUGGUGUAUCUGUUUUUUUGUGUGGAUCUGAGUCACCUCUCUUUCCUGAGGAUCUCUGCUGGAGGGCGUGGCUUCCCAGUGGCAGGUGGCACAUGCGUGUCAUUGCAUUCAUCUCCUGCAGUGUUUUUAAGGAGCAGUGUUGCAGUCAUUCUUCACCUGAUGGUCCCACACAGUUGGUUGAUCUCCGUCAGACGUUAUUCCAGUCAACUUCCAAGAUCUCCAUUGCUGACAUAACCUUUGGUAGUGAUCUCCCAUGGCUCUGAACGCUUGCUCCUCUGGCCUGCCCACUCUCCAUCGCCUCUCCCACUCCCCAGCAUUCACCCCAGGAUCUCAAUACUUCUCACCAGGCCUUACCUGCAUCUUUUCACAAUCACUAAGAACCCACAAGUCUGUACCUGGUACGCGCUACCGUUCAGAAA